GAAAAAAAUAAUAUUUAAUAAAUAACUAACUGAAUCAUAUUAUUGCUAGCCCAUUGUGAGGCUAAGCCCACCCCCUCCCCUUAGUAUAGAUAAUAUCGUUUGUUAAAAAAAACAAAUCAUUUGACAACUAAUUUAAUCAGGUUAUUAUCCGCGAAAGACCUUUUUUUAUAACCGGCAUUACAUGUCUCUUAAGAUGUUUUGAACGUGUUUAAAAAUAGAGAAAAUAAUAUUUAAUAAACAACCGAUUGAAUCAUAUUAUUGCUAGCCCAUUGUGGGGCUAAGCCCACCUCCUCCCCCUUAAUAUAGAUAGUAUCGUUUGUUAAAAAUAAAAAUAAAAACAAUCAUUUGACAACUAAUGUAAUCACAUUAUUAUCCGCAUGUGAAAGACCUUUUUUUAUAACUGACAUUACACGUCUUUUAAGAUGUUUUGAACGUGUUUUUAAAUAGAUAAAUUGAAUCACAUUAUUGGUAGCCUAUUGUGAGGUACUUGAAGGAAUAUUUUGUGAAAACAUGUUCAUUUAAGCAACAUCUAUAAGCAUGCAAUUAACAAUUAAAUGCAGAAUCAUGCUUGCAUGCACUUAAAAACAAAACAUUAACCAUGAAAUUCAAAGCCUAGUAGAUUGGUGAACCAAAACUCAACUCAAAACAAAGUGAGUUGAAAUUAUAUACCUUUGUAGAUUCCUCUUUGCAUAAGCAAAGGCUAAUCACCCAAAGAGAGGGCCUUCAUUCCUUGCAUCUAAAAUCUAUGGAUUUGGAUGGAAGAAUAGGUUUCUCCAAGUUCCCAAAAUUGAGAACCUCUAAGUCUCUUCACCAAGGUUAGAUUGGAGAAGAAAUGAGUGACCUUGGAGUAGUGGGAUUGCUAGAUGCACCCUCCAAGGGGCCGGCCUCUUUAGAGAGAAAUGGAGAGACAUGUUCUCUCCAAUUUUCUCCAAAACAAACCCUAAAUGAAUUUUGGCUAUAAAGUCAUAUUUAUACCUUUAUUCAUUUGAGUGGCAAACUUGUAAAUAAGUCCAAGUUCACUACCCUUAACCAUAUGGCCGGCCUUAGGGUGUUGUUUUGGGCUUUUGGGCCUUUUUGUGAAUUAAGUUGUCAUACAACUUAAGUCAAUGGGCUUGACGUUCGAAGCCCAUUGGGCCUUAAAGUCCAAAACUAUCCCGAGGUCUUUAACGAACUUAUUCGUUUGAUUAAUUAACAUAUUAAUUAAUCCUUGCCAUAAAUAAUUAAACCAUUUAAUUAUUCUUACUCAUCUCCAUUGUUUCUUCAAUCUCCACCUUACACGGUGUACGAUCCAUUAGGUUCCUUUUAGCGAGGCAGUGGGCGAUUUAAAACCAUUUUCAAAUCGAUUGUGAAUUGAAACUUACUUUCAAUUCUCCCUUUAGUGAUUAUACACGUUUAGGGCUUCCACAAACCAAGAGUGACACCUAGCAGCAUAUCAUGGUUACCCAAGCUAAUCAGAAGAGGUAGAGAACCUAUUCAGUUUAGGAUUACAAAUGCAAUACGGUCUUUCUCUAAUACAAUACUCUUGACCACAUUGUUUGGUUUGAUAGUUUAUUUAUUCAUGUCUACUAUCCAAUGUGAUUCGUGCGCUUAUAUGAUUUCCUUGAAUGUGAUUUGGAACGUCUUUCCUAAAUCUCAUUCAUACUUUGGCCAGAGGUUUUAAUCAUAUCAUAGAGUAUUCUCCCUCAAACGGUUUGAACGUUAGAGAUCCCUUGUUGCGCAUUCACUUGCCUCCAUAGCUAAGUGGCUUAACCCCAACUAUGCCGUGGACACCCCGAUGGGGUGACUUUGACAUAAUCAAAGAUCAAGGACUUAACCACAAGACAACUGUGAUGCCUCAGGUCAAAUGACUACUUUGCAUUAUCCCAACCAUGAGUUCUCAUGUGACAUGAAUAUGAGAACUCUUCGUUGAUCGUGUUCAGUGAACUCAUUCUCUAUUGAGCACCUACGUACUUGUCUUGAUGUCACACACACCAAUGACUCGAGACUAGUCACUCUCCCUGAGAGAAGACACAGCACGUACUGAUCUUAACGGACUGUCAAUGCCCAAUUGGCAAUCCUAUGAUCAGGAACGUUUAGGAUGUGUCUACGAAAGAAUGGUCUCAUGAAUCUAACUUCUUUAGAUUCGCAUUCUCCCAAUCACAUAUUCCUUGGACUUUAUCGUUUAAGCAUAUAACAUUUAUAUGAGACGGCUCAAACAAUAAUCUUUGCCCUUUAUAUUAAACUAGAUUAGUUUAACAUGUGAAAUGUCCGUAAAGUAUCAUCAUAUGAUUGGUUUUAGGGCACAUUUCCAACAAUCUCCCACUUGCACUAGAGCCAAUCAGCUUGGUCAUCAGUGAUGAUACCUCUUCUGUAGUCAUUUCAUAAAUGGCUGAAGUAGUAGGCCUAGACAAUGGAUAUCUAUAUGUUAUCCAUAGAAGCAACCUUGAGAAUAACGACGUCACCAUUAUACAUGAUUCUCAAUCAUGUGGUUCAGUCUCUCAUUUGAGUUCGGACCUUGAUGAGACCUUGAUUCCCUGGCUUGAGCUAUCGCCCCAUUAGUGUCAUAGUGUCGAUACACUAGAUACACUUUCUGGUUGGAACCGAAUAGAGAGUUCAUAAAUGAACUUUCCCAUCCAAACAACAUUGUUGUAAAGCUUCUAUAUGGCAAUAUAUUUUGCAUUCAUAAUGGAACACACUAAAGUCAUUACUUUAAUGUUUCCAUCCAAAUAUCUCUUUAGUCAUAAUAAAGAGAGAUAUCUGUUUAUCUCUUCAUUCAUAAUGAAGAAACAUCCAAUGAUGGAUUAGAUUCAUAAUCUAAUACAUUUACGCUUCCAUUACGUUACUCUAAUUCUUCCUCGAUUCUUUGAGGAAUUUAUCCUUUAGUAUUUCUUAAAUACUUAAGGACUCACUUGACAGUUGCCAUGGUUCUGAUCCUGGGCUUGCCACUGAUAUCGUCUUGUACCGUUCUAGGUACAACUCAUAUCAAUGUUUUUCAUACAAUAUGAAAUACAUAAAUCACCUUUAUGCGUAUGCAUAAAGGAUUCUAUUUACGCAUUAUUUCUUUGGGAGUCAAAAGGGCACGUUCCCUUUGAGAAGGGCAACUUGCUAGUCUCACUAGAGUUGUUCUUCUAAUUGAAGUUUAUCAUCAUAUGAGAAACUUCCUAGCAUCUUUUGUCUAUUAUUAGGGAUUGAUAUAAUCAAAUUAUAUCUUGAAAUCUAUCAUUAUAGAUUUCCAUCCCAUGUAUAUAGACUAUGUCUCCCAUAUACAUUCUAUCUUCAUAUAAUGUUUUAAAGUCAUAACUUUAACGAAGAAGUAUUCUUUUCAUUUCCAAAAUUAAUAUAUCAUAUAUAUAUUCAUAUAUAUCACAUAUAUAUUUAUAUAUAUAUAUAUACAAAUUUAGGAAUAUGAUUAACUCCCACUAAUCUUUUGUAAACCUAGUAAACAAAAGAUUCAUUUACAUCUUUAUGAGAAAUCAAACGAUUUGAUCCUUUUCUCAUAAGACGCUUAUAGCUCCCACUAGCUUGCUAAGAUCCAUGAUGGAUGGAUCUCUACAACUUACAUGUCUUGUGAUUCAUAGUUUUAGACAUAUAUUAUCAAGACUAUCUUAAUAAUGGUUUCGGAAACCCAUAUUAUGUCCAAACAUUGAAUCACCAUUUAGUUGUAGCUAGCAAUCUUCGAAUUAAUUGAAACUAAGACUACGUCAAAAAUGGUUCCUUCAAAGUCAACCAUUCUCUUUGAUUGUAGUCACCUUAAGCUACCAAUUAGCUUAUGAAGGUUUCAUUAUUUCGGGUCAAAUGGUACUUUACCAUUUCCUUGAGUAUAUAUCAUAUAUAUACACUCAAUGUAGUCAUAAGGAUUUUCAUUCUUAUUUCUUUCGAAUUAAGAGGUGCAACUCUAUGACAUAGUCAUAAAGUUCAAACCAUUCAACUGAGACGGUUUAUAAAUCCUUCUCGACUACCUUGGAGCUUGUGGUAUAGGAACUAGGUUGUUAUAUUUGUUGAUUACUAUCUUGUCUCUCAAAGAACCCAUUCUUUGAGUUCUAUCUCUCGUUCAUUUGCAUCUCAGGCAAAUCACAUUGUAGGAUUACAAUGAACUACCCAACAAAACAACAUUUGUUAGUUGGUUUAUAGAAGCGAUAUCCAAAAGUUAAUUUAAGGAUAUCCCACAAGAUUGUUAUCAAACAAAUAUUGCUUAUUAGCACACAACCCCAAAUCUUAACAUGCUUGAGAUUUGUCUUUCUUUCCAACUACAUCUUAUGGAGUCAUGAAAAUAUUGGAAGAUCUUCUCAUUGACAAUCAUAUUGUUUUAGAAGUAUAUAUCCUAUAUAUGGGUAAUAGAUAACAUCUAACGAACUAAAUCUUAUUCGAGUUCGUUCUUCUCCUAAUGGAGAAAUUCAUUAUCUUAUGAUGCUUUUUCCUUGAUAUCUUUCAAGGAAACUCAUUCUAAAGUGUUACCUUUCCUUGGAUCAAAUCUAAGGAGGUAAAUACUUUAGACGUCUUACUCAUCAACUUACAUUUCUUGAAUUCUUUGAAACCAUUUUGCAAAGUAUUCGGACUUGUGUUUAUUCAAAAUAAACUAUAGUCCAACCGAGAGUGAUCUUCGGUGAAUGUCAUACAACAUGAGUAGUAUUAUGUUGUGGACAAGUGCCACUAACAUCUAAGUGAAUUAACCUCAACAACUUUGUGAUUCUUUCUUCUUUCCAAAAGAAUAAAGAUUCGAACAUUUCGCCUCUAUACACAAUUUUAACAAGAAGGUAUUGGAUCCGGAUCUAACGAUCCAAAGCAUCCAUCUAUGACCAACUCGUAAUUUAUGUUUUAGAGGUAUCACAACUUUAGUUGGGAUUAGUCACUACCUUGCAACCUUUUGGGUUUUAAGCAUCAUUAUAUUCUAAACAGUUAACACUACCAUAUUAUCUCUCUACUAUAGAGACAAUCAAUUAGAUUACCAUAAUCCAAUCAUUGAUUAAUAAAGAACAAUGUUUUGUCAAACAAAACAUUUAUCCAUUUCACAUAGUGACGGAAUUUAGUUCCUUAAAAUUGGAAUAUAAAGACAAUCUUAUGUUUUUCCAAUUUCUUUGGUAGUUCAUAUGAGAAGUAAGUACCAUCUGCUUUCGCAGAGAUCUAUAUUUGAUUCACUUUCCGAAUGUGAAGUACCUUUCUCUUCUCUCAUUAAUCUUCUACUUCUUAUUAGUCACACUUUUACAACGAUUGUAAAACAUAGUUACUAAUACGGAAUCAAGCAUUCAAGUAGAAGAACCAACUGUUUUGAACUAUUCAAGAACAAUUUACAACACCUUCGAAAGGUGUGUUCUUGACACUUGCAAGACAUUUCUUGCAAAUACCCCUUCCAAUGUCCAUCCUUUCAUAAAGAAAGUUUGUUCCCUUGGAGUUAAUUUUAUCUUCUUCAUUUGACUUCUCCUUUGACUACAAUAGUCAUGGUCCCUAAACUCCCACUAUCUCUCUUGAAAACUUAUUUCAAUUGUGUUUAUACACAUCAAACAAUUUGGAGAGCAUGUGGUUUAUUGUUCACUACAUAGUUUACAAUAAACUUAGUGAACCAUUAGGGGAUAGGGACACAAAGGUGAAGUCCUUGCCUAGUUUCCGUCUCGUUAAGUGGUUUAUCACUUCAACACUCAAUGAUUCAAAAUCAUCAUAAGUCCAUGUUAAUGGACUAUUUUUGUCAACCAACCAUUAUGUUCUAAACAUAAUUACAAACUUUCAAGAGUUGUUCAAGGCAACUCUCAUUUCUUCAUACAACAAUUUGUAAGUGAAGAAUCAUGGCACAUAAAGUGUCCAUGCCUUUGUGCUUUCUUCUCAAGUUCUUUGUUCAUUUAACAAAGAAACAAGCACUAGUGUUUGCAUUGACUAAGGGUUGUUCAAAGCAACUCUUAUUUUCUUCAUACAACGAUUUGUAAGUGAAGAACUAAUAACACUAAAAGUGUCCUUGUCAUUAUGCUAAUCUUCGUAAGUUCCUUUGUUCAUUUAACAAAGGAUUAAGCAUUGGUUGUUUGUGUUGUCCUCUUCAUGAUAGACUUUAUCUAACAUGUUCUUUCAAUGAUACAUUAAACCAAUAGAACGAUUUUGAGGAUGAGACUAGUCCGGAAACUAAAGCAUUCGGCUUUUCUUUGUCAAGUUUUGGAUAGCGUUUGCAAUAUAUAUUGGUAAACAAAUACAUAACGAAUAUAAAUUGAUUGAUUUUAAGCCAUUUGAUUCGGGUCUUUAAAUCAAAUAGCACCACCCACUAUUUUUGGCAAAUUCCAUAUCCCUCAUUGGAAUUCGAGAGUUUUGGAUGAAACUUCAGUAGUAGGUUAUGGGAGGCUCACUAUUACCAAGCCCACCUCACAAUGAUAUGAUGUUGGCUAGCAUUAAUAAUAAUGAGAGAGUACGCUUACUCAUUUGCAACUAAUGCAAGUACCCAUCUUAUUUGGCCUCUAGAGAAUGUCACCUCACAAUGAUAUGAUGUUGGCCUCCAUUGCACUUAAGUUAAGUCAUUCCCACCAUGCUUAGUUCGUGAAAGGGUUCAAGAAUAGCCUCACGAAUGAUACGAUGUUGGCCAUCUCUCGUUGCCUACACUCACCUCAUCAUAUGUUUAUGGAUUCCCUCCUGAGUAAGCAUGCACUUUGUACUCCCCAUGAUAGGGUGAAGCCGGUGUACAAGUCAUAAACGAUUGGAGCCCACCACGGUGGAAGGCCACGAAAGAGUGUUCAAAGCACUCUCACGCUUAUCAACUUAAUAAUGGUUUUGGUUGAGGGUUUUAGGUCUCAUCACAUAUAAACAUACAUUUUAAUCUCUAUUAAAACAAUUUUGGUCCUAUUACAACUAUUGGUCCAUUGAUUGUUUUAGUUGUAUAUAAUACUCCCACUAUGCUUAUAAAACGGUUUUUAAAGCAAGAGUAUAUGAUACUACUAACAUAAUCUUUGCAUUCAUUUGAUGGACUAUAUAGUUGCCUUAGGGCCUUAGGAUGACUAUGAACCUUUGUUUAGAUUCAACACGAGCCUUGUGUUGAAUCUCGGUCUAGGGAUGGUGAUUGAUUUUAGUUACGCGUUUAAUCACAUUAAGGCGUGUUGUCUUAGGGGCGUUGGACCCAACUACUUCAUUUUCAUGCAUAUCAAAUAAAGCAAGAAAGAAGUACUUCAAAGUAAAGGUGAGCUUAUGCUCAUUACAACAUUUGCAUAAACAAAUUACUUUAAAGUAAAGAAGAGCUUAAGCCCUUUUACAACAUUUGAUCAAAUCAAAUUACAACCAAAAUCUAAUCUACACAUUCCCAUGGUUCAAACAAAUUUGAAACGGCCUUUCACAUAGCUCAAUUAUAUUAGGCUUAGGUUCAUAAUCACCCUUUAAAUUAAUUAACACUUUAACUAAUUAAAUUGAAUGCAACAUUUUCAUUUGGUUUUUGUAUCCAUAAAAAUUGAUUUAAAUGGAGCUAAACAAAAUGAAAAUAAAAUUCUCAUUUUAAAAAAAAGACAAAACAAUUUGUUUCAAACACCUCAAACAAAGAAAAUUUGGGCCAAUAUGAAUAAACCAAACCUUUUUGGGCAAUAACUUUAAAAACACAAACUAUGAACCACAAAACCCAAAAGGAUUCACAACUACUAGACCUAGGCUCUGAAACUUCCAGUGAGGAAACAAUUGUUUUGAAAGCAUGUUUUUGAACAUCUAUAAGCAUGCAAUUAACAAUUAAACAUUUGGCACAAAAAACAAAACAUGAAAAAAAUUCAAAGCCUAGUAGAUUGGUGAACCAAAACUCAACUCAAAACAAAGUGAGUUGAAAUUAUAUACCUUUGUAGAUUCCUCUUUGCAUAAGCAAAGGCUAAUCACCUCAAAGAGAGGGCCUUCAUUCCUUGCAUCUAAAAUCAUGGAUUUGGAUGGAAGAAUAGGUUUCUCCAAGUUCCAAAAUUGGAAACCUCUAAGUCUCUUCACCAGGUUUAGAUGAAGAAAUGAGUGACCUUGGAGUAGUGGAUGGAUUUUCCAAGUUCCAAUGGAAAGGUUUCUCAAGUUCCCAAAUGAGAACCUCUAAGUCUCUUCACCAAGGUUAGAUUGGAGAAGAAAUGAGUGACCUUGGAGUAGUGGGAUUG
rnacentral:lncRNA from 1 species